GUUUAGGAAGGUGUGUGAUUGCUCUGCAAAACGUGGACAAGAGGCUUUUGCCAACAGCUAUGGGAGAUAAGUGGAUUAAUCUGGAGAGGCAUGUGGAGGGAGGUGAAGAGAAGAAGGAAGAGAAGUUUGCUAGCAGGCUUCAUCUGAAGGUGUUUUUGGAUGGUGUGCAUCAUUUUUUUGAUGAACCCACAUACUAGUGCAGUGAUCUCAGGGCAACAUCACCCUAGUUAUGGCCAGAUAAAAUUGGUAUAUUGGAAUUGGGAAUCUCGAAAGCUGAAGGCUUGCUUCCCAUGAAGUCGAAGGAUGGUCGUGGAACUACCGAUGCUUAUUGCGUGGCCAAAUACUGGCAGAAGUGGGUGCGGACGACUACUGUGAUAGACAGUCUAGCUCCAAAAUGGAAUGAACAAUAUUAUUGGGAUGUUUAUGAUCCAUAUACAGUUAUUACGAUUGGAAUUUUUGAUAAUAGUUAUUUAGGAGCAGAUGACAACAUUAAUGGAGGUACAAAAGAUCCAAGAAUUGGCAAGGUAAGGAUUCGUCUGUCUACCCUUGAAACCGAUAGGAUAUACACGCACUCUUAUCCGCUCAUAGUCCUGCAAUCUAAUGGGUUGAGGAAAAUGGGAGAACUUCAUUUGGCUGUAAAAUUUACUUGUACCUCCUUGCUUAAUUUGUUAUAUACAUAUACACAGCCUUUGCUUCCCAGAAUGCUUACAUUAGCCCACUAUCAGUGUAUCAGCGAGACAGUGUAAGGCACCAAGCUAUUUAAGUUGUCUG
rnacentral:misc_RNA from 1 species